GCGCCUCGGUCAGAAAUCAUGUGGCAAAUCUGUGGCGAGUACUACCUACAUCUUUGAUCAUCCAGCAACUUAAUCUGCCUUCUAAGCAGGGGGUUGCAGGUUCGACUCCUGCCGGGCGCGCCA
rnacentral:tRNA from 1 species